UGUCACUCUCUGUGACUGUGGGUGUCGCGUUGGUGGGCCUGCUGUACUCCUUCUGCUUAGCCUUCCAGUGGAUUAAUGGUUGGCCUGACAAGCCUGGAAGAAGUACAUAGAAGCUCUAAAACCAAGGCGAAUAUACGGUCUGACCCUCGCUACACUGGAUCUUCUCAAAUACCUGCAGUAUGGGAGACUUUACUUUCAGCUGAGGUCAUGGUAUGAAGAUGAGAGGAACCUCAAGUAUUAUGAAAAGGGCAUCACUUUUGGCCGCAGAGG